ACCCACCUGGUUAACUGCAUACAGGAGGAAGCUCGUACUAGUAACAUCUUACCUGUAACAUAAACUCCUCCUAUCUCGGGGCUGAGCAACCCUUGCCCCUCUCUACUCCAAAGCAUCCUCGCUAGUGCCUGCCGGUGUAAUUUCUUCUCCUUCUAUCAAUGGAAUGACAUGCGUAAAAACCCAUGAACAUUUUCAUUAAUAAAAAAAUGGGGCAAGAGUUCUAAAAGAAAAAAACUGAGCCGAACCGUGAAUCUUCGCUCCCGUGGCUCGCGGGGAGCGGCGCCGCUGGUAGCCCCACGGAUCCAGGGAGCAGCCGCCGCCGCCAUGUCCGGUUGCCCCUGCUCCACCUCCAUCUCCUCCUCUCCACUCUCCCUCCUGCCUUCCAGUUCCGCCCCCUCUACUCCGAGAUGCAGUAGGGUCGCCUUCUCCUCCUCGUGCGGCCCACGGAGGAGCGGGAUGCGACCGAGAGGCACGCGCGAUUGCAGCAGCAAGGAUGAGAAGGCGGAGGCUGAGGAGAAGGAGGGAGAGCCGGCGUUCAACCUGUUCGGGUUCGUGGAGUCGUGGAGCCGCAGCGCCAUCCAGGUGCCGUGGAGUCGCCCGCUCAGGACGGCAAUGUCGGCCAGAUGCUCUACACGACAGAGGACAAAGAGAGGGAGUAUGGCAGCAAUAGCAUGAGAUGAGGAGAGCUGGGAUGGUUGGUGAGGGAAACAGGUUCUUAUGGUUUGACAUGGGCAUUGAAGAACUCGAGCAAACUUCUUAAGGUAGCAAUUCUUAACCGCCCACUUACUGUUUCUUCUCCAGUGCCUGGAGUCUUAAAGCAGCUCAGGUUACCACUUUUUGGCGAAUUUACCUGCCAAAAUGCUAUUUUGGCCGAGAGAUUCAUUGAAGCAGGUAGCUAAUUUGUAUCCUUGUCGCAGAAAUCUGUUUAUUAUACCAUGCCGAUUUUGUUAGCGCUAAACCUUUUUUUUCUGGAAGUCUUGAAACAAGAAAGUAACUUUUGUGAUGAGCAUUUCCUUUAAACAUGGUAUUUUCUUCCUGUUA